rnacentral:tRNA from 1 species
GCGCCUAUAGCUCAGCGGAUAGAGCACUGGUCUCCGGAACCAGAGGCGAGGGUUCGAUUCCCUCUAGGCGCU